rnacentral:rRNA from 1 species
UACGUAGGGCGCAAGCGUUGUCCGGAAUUAUUGGGCGUAAAGAGCUCGUAGGCGGUUUGUCGCGUCUGCUGUGAAAACCUAAGGCUCAACCUUGGGCUUGCAGUGGGUACGGGCAGACUAGAGUGCGGUAGGGGUAGAGGGAAUUCCCGGUGUAGCGGUGAAAUGCGUAGAUAUCUGGAGGAACACCGGUGGCGAAGGCGGCAUCCUGGACCAAUACUGACGCUGAGGAGCGAAAGCCAGGGGAGCAAACGGG